AGUGAACGCUGGCGGUAGGCCUAACACAUGCAAGUCGAACGGCAGCACAGUAAGAGCUUGCUCUUACGGGUGGCGAGUGGCGGACGGGUGAGGAAUACAUCGGAAUCUACUUUUUCGUGGGGGAUAACGUAGGGAAACUUACGCUAAUACCGCAUACGACCUACGGGUGAAAGCAGGGGAUCUUCGGACCUUGCGCGAUUGAAUGAGCCGAUGUCGGAUUAGCUAGUUGGCGGGGUAAAGGCCCACCAAGGCGACGAUCCGCAGCUGGUCUGAGAGGAUGAUCAGCCACACUGGAACUGAGACACGGUCCAGACUCCUACGGGAGGCAGCAGUGGGGAAUAUUGGACAAUGGGCGCAAGCCUGAUCCAGCUAUACCGCGUGGGUGAAGAAGGCUUUCGGGUUGUAAAGCCCUUUUGUUGGGAAAGAAAAGCAGCAGGUUAAUACCCCGCUGUUCUGACGGUACCCAAAGAAUAAGCACCGGCUAACUUCGUG
rnacentral:rRNA from 1 species